rnacentral:lncRNA from 10 species
AUAUGGCAGGUCAAGUCUGCAUUCUGGGAUAAAGUGUUGACACAAUCUUGAAUCAGUGCCUAAGGAGUUCACAAGUCCAGAGAGGGGAUAGCGCAUAGAGAAGAUAAAGCAGAUGUCCAUCCAAAGACUUGUAUGUGAAUGUUCAUAGCAACUUUAUUUGUAAUAGCCAAAACCUGAAAGCAACCCAAAUGUAUGUUAAGAAGCGAAUGGAUACAUAAAUUGUGGCAUAUGCAUACAAUGGGAUACCCAGCAAUAAAAAGGAAUGAACUAUUCAAAGAUAAGAGAGCUGAAGAAGAGUGAAAAUAAAGAAACUUCUGCAAAGCCACACAUGUA